UUGCAUCCACUGAUAGACCCUGAACAAUGUAAUAUUGUUCUUUUGGUUUGCACUAGGGUGGGAAGGAAAAAAAAUCCCUGCAUUUUUUGUCUGUCUUUGUGGAACCCACAUUGAAUAGGGGACUAUAUCU